rnacentral:rRNA from 1 species
AGCGAACGCUGGCGGCAGGCCUAACACAUGCAAGUCGAACGAACCUUUCGGGGUUAGUGGCGGACGGGUGAGUAACACGUGGGAACGUGCCUUUAGGUUCGGAAUAACUCAGGGAAACUUGUGCUAAUACCGAAUGUGCCCUUCGGGGGAAAGAUUUAUCGCCUUUAGAGCGGCCCGCGUCUGAUUAGCUAGUUGGUUGAGGUAAUGGCUCACCAAGGCGACGAUCAGUAGCUGGUCUGAGAGGAUGAUCAGCCACAUUGGGACUGAGACACGGCCCAAACUCCUCCGGGAGGCCGCAGUGGGGAAUCUUGCGCAAUGGGCGAAAGCCUGACGCAGCCAUGCCGCGUGAAUGAUGAAGGUCUUAGGAUUGUAAAAUUCUUUCACCGGGGACGAUAAUGACGGUACCCGGAGAAGAAGCCCCGGCUAACUUCGUG